rnacentral:rRNA from 1 species
GACGAACGCUGGCGGCGUGCUUAACACAUGCAAGUCGAACGAAGUGGCGCACGGGUGAGUAACGCGUAAUCAACCUGCCCUUCAGAGGGGGACAACAGUUGGAAACGACUGCUAAUACCGCAUCCUGAAGGCGGGGAUUGCGUCUGAUUAGCUAGUUGGAGGGGUAACGGCCCACCAAGGCGAUGAUCAGUAGGCGGGCGGGGGGGAUGAACGGGCACAAUGGGACUGGGACACGGCCCCGAACCCUACGGGAGGCAGCAGUGGGGAAACUUCCGAAAUGGAGGAAAGGCUGAUGGAGCAACGCCGCGGGAGUGAUGACGGCCUUCGGGUUGUAAAGCUCUGUUAAUCGGGACGCGGUACCGGAAUAGAAAGCAACGGCUAACUACGUGCCAGCAGCCGCGGUAAUAC